GAUGAACGCUGGCGGCGUGCCUAAUACAUGCAAGUCGAGCGAAUGGAUUAAGAGCUUGCUCUUAUGAAGUUAGCGGCGGACGGGUGAGUAACACGUGGGUAACCUGCCCAUAAGACUGGGAUAACUCCGGGAAACCGGGGCUAAUACCGGAUAACAUUUUGAACCGCAUGGUUCGAAAUUGAAAGGCGGCUUCGGCUGUCACUUAUGGAUGGACCCGCGUCGCAUUAGCUAGUUGGUGAGGUAACGGCUCACCAAGGCAACGAUGCGUAGCCGACCUGAGAGGGUGAUCGGCCACACUGGGACUGAGACACGGCCCAGACUCCUACGGGAGGCAGCAGUAGGGAAUCUUCCGCAAUGGACGAAAGUCCGACGGAGCAACGCCGCGUGAGUGAUGAAGGCUUUCGGGUCGUAAAACUCUGUUGUUAGGGAAGAACAAGUGCUAGUUGAAUAUGCUGACACCUUGACGGUACCUAACCAGAAAGCCACGGCUAACUACGUGCCAGCCGCCGCAGUAA
rnacentral:rRNA from 1 species